UUUUAGGCCUAGUACCUCAGGAAGCGUUAUGUCUGGUGAAAACCUUUGGUGCUUUUAGUAAAACAAACUUUGAAUUCAUAUAAAGAAAACAAAGAAACUGAAAGAGUAGUUCCAGUUCUUGCAACAUAAUGCAGCCGCAAAGUGAUGUUCACGGGAAUGAGUCCUGCCAUGCAGUAAAACGGGUGUCAACUUCGGAGCCACUUUCCAGGGGGCGUUUCCUGACGCCCCCUGGCUUAGUGCCCAGACAGGGGUCGUCCCUGGUUAACUUGGGCAGGACAGGAGGGCGGCCUGCUCCUCCCUAGGCCCGAGGAUGCGCCCGCAGCAGGUGAACGGCUUCGGGAGCCAGGAGCUCGGCAAGCUGGGGACCCCUGGGCGAGGACUACAAAGGACCCAAGGCGAAGCCAGCGCCGGCAGGCAGAGCCGACCCCGGCGGGACUCCACCUGCCCGCGAGUGUUCGUCAAGUGCUCGGCCGCUGCGGGGCCGUCCCGGCGGGGCGGGCUUCACCGCGUGGUCGCGGCAGUCGCCACUCACCGAGGUUGACGACCUUGAGCGCCGUGAAGAAGCGGUUCUGCCGGGCCAGGUCCUGCCAGGGCGCCUUGGAGCAGUGGUACUUGAUGAAGGGGAAGCAGCCCGCAUGCAUUCUCACUCUGUUGCUUAAGCUGGUCUAGAACUCAAGCCAAUCUGUCACUUCAGCCUCUUGAGUCACUGGGAUUACAGGAACCACCAUGUCCAGCUUAUUUUGCUGUGUCACCAGGCUGAAGUGCCAUGGCAUGAUUAUGGCUCACUGCAGCCUCUACCUCCCAGGCUCAAGAGAUCCUCCCAGCUCAGCCUCCCAAGUAGCUGGGACUACAGACCUGAACCACUAUGCCCAGCUAAUUUUUUGUAUUUUGUAUUUUUUGUAGAGACAUGGUCUCACUUUGUUUUGCAGGCUGAUCUUGAACUCCUGGGCUCAAGCAAUCCCCCUACCUCGGCCUCCCAAUGUGUUGGGAUUACAGGCAUGAGUUGCAGUGCCCAGCUGAUAUAUAUACUUUUCUAUAUGUAUAUUAUACUUCAAUAAAAAGUUUGAAACAGAAAA